AGAGUUUGAUCAUGGCUCAGGACGAACGCUGGCGGCGUGCUUAAUACAUGCAAGUCGAGCGAGGUUAUCUUUUCAACGUCCUUCGGGACGGCGAAUUUUUAACCUAGCGGCGGACGGGUGAGUAACGCGUGGGUAAUCUGCCCUAAAGCCCGGGAUAACAGUGGGAAACUGCUGCUAAUACCGGAUAGCUUUAUCUGGAGGCAUCUUCGGAUAAGGAAACGUAAGGCUUUAGGAUGAGCCCGCGUCCCAUUAGCUAGUUGGUGAGGUAACGGCCCACCAAGGCGACGAUGGGUAGCCGGCCUGAGAGGGUGAACGGCCACACUGGGACUGAGACACGGCCCAGACUCCUACGGGAGGCAGCAGUAGGGAAUAUUGCGCAAUGGAGGGAACUCUGACGCAGCGACGCCGCGUGAGCGAUGAAGGUUUUCGGAUCGUAAAGCUCUGUCCUUGGGGAAGAAGAGCGCUUUUAAGCGCCUUUGACGGUACCCAAGGAGGAAGCCCCGGCUAACUACGUGCCAGCAGCCGCGGUAAUACGUAGGGGGCAAGCGUUGUCCGGAAUUAUUGGGCGUAAAGGGUGCGUAGG
rnacentral:rRNA from 1 species